GGUCCUGCUGGAUAAAUGGUGUGAUUUCUGGAUGAGGGGAUAAAACAUAGAUUAUUGUGAGCGUUCAACCAAUGAGGGCUCUUUUGAAGACUCCUAAACCUCGUGAUUGACGCCAUAACGUGUCCAACUGACUAUUUAAGCUCUGCAACUGGCCGGAGGAGGAGCCGCUGCCGCUGCUGCUGCCGGGUGCGGAGCCCCGACUGCAAGUCGAAGGCGGCAGUGAAGGUGGAUCUGAGUCCGUCAGCGUUGGGCUGUUCGCUGCCGGAGGCCCCGCUGCUGUCUGAGUUUAAGGAGUUUCUGGGGCAGGUCUCGGGAGCAGAAGGCUUAGCGGGGUAUUCCAGACGUCCCU